rnacentral:rRNA from 1 species
GAUCAAAUCAAGCGCGAAAAGGGCGUUUGGUGGAUGCCUUGGCAGUAAGAGGCGAUGAAGGACGUGAUACCCUGCGUUAAGCCAUGGGGAGCCGGGAAUAGGCUUUGAUCCAUGGAUAUCCGAAUGGGGAAACCCACCUGACAUUCUGCUGUUGUUACCUUUGCGGGUAUCAACAGUGGGGUGAAACAGGUACUUAUCCCUGAAUACAUAGGGGAAUAAGGGCAAACCCGGGGAACUGAAACAUCUAAGUACCCGGAGGAAAGGAAAUCAAGAGAGACUCCGUUAGUAGUGGCGAGCGAACGCGGACCAGCCGAUCCUUGAUGCGUGACUGGAAUGGUCUGGAAAGGCCAGCAACAUGGGUGACAGCCCCGUACAGGAAGCAAUUCAAGGACAUAUCAAGUAGGGCGGGACACGNNNNNNNNNCGAUAGCGAACCAGUACCGUGAGGGAAAGGUGAAAAGCACCCCGACGAGGGGAGUGAAACAGUACCUGAAACCGGACGCCUACAAGCAGUCGGAGGGACAUCAGUCCUGACGGCGUACCUUUUGUAUAAUGGGUCAACGACUUGGUCUCAGUAGCAAGCUUAAGCCGCUAGGUGUAGGCGCAGGGAAACCGAGUCUUAAAUGGGCGAAUGAGUUACUGGGAUCAGACCCGAAACCAAGUGAUCUAGCCAUGAGCAGGAUGAAGGCAGGGUAACACCUGCUGGAGGUCCGAACCAACACCCGUUGAAAAGGGUCUGGAUGACUUGUGGCUAGGGGUGAAAGGCUAAUCAAACUUGGAGAUAGCUGGUUCUCCGCGAAAGCUAUUUAGGUAGCGCCUCGGACGAAUACCAUCGGGGGUAGAGCACUGCAUGGGUAAUGGGGGCCCACAGCCUUACUGAACCUAAGCAAACUCCGAAUACCGAUGAGUACUAUCCGGGAGACACACAUCGGGUGCUAACGUCCGGUGUGAAGAGGGAAACAACCCUGACCUGCAGCUAAGGCCCCUAAUUCGUGGUUAAGUGGGAAAGCAUGUGGGACGGCCAAAACAACCAGGAGGUUGGCUUAGAAGCAGCCAUCCUUUAAAGAUAGCGUAACAGCUCACUGGUCUAGAUAAGCUGUCCUGCGGCGAAGAUGUAACGGGGCUCAAACCACGAGCCGAAGCUCGGGAUGUGCAGCAAUGCACGUGGUAGCGGAGCGUUCUGUGAUAUAGCUUCACGCCUUUUGAUUUACGUUGCGGCGCACAUCUCGUGCGCCUUGGCGUUGAUCCGAAGGCAGGAAGCUUUCUGUGAAGCCGGGCUGUAAGGCAUCCGGUGGAGAGAUCAGAAGCGAGAAUGUUGACAUGAGUAGCGACAAACAGGGUGAGAGACCCUGUCGCCGAAAGUCCAAGGGUUCCUGCUUAAAGCUAAUCUGAGCAGGGUAAGCCGGCCCCUAAGGCGAGGCAGAAAUGCGUAGUCGAUGGGAACCACGUUAAUAUUCGUGGGCCAGAAGGAAGUGACGGAUCUCGAAGAUUGUCUGCCCUUAUCGGAUUGGGUGGGCAGUUCAGAGGUUCCAGGAAACAGCCCUUCAUCAGACCGUACCCUAAACCGACACAGGUGGACUGGUAGAGAAUACCAAGGCGCUUGAGAGAACCACAUCAAAGGAACUCGGCAAAUUACCUCCGUAAGUUCGCGAUAAGGAGGCCCCAUGUCUGGGCAACCAGGGGUGGGGGGCACAAACCAGGGGGUGGCGACUGUUUACUUAAAACACAGGGCUCUGCGAAGUCGCAAGACGACGUAUAGGGUCUGACGCCUGCCCGGUGCUGGAAGAUUAAAAGGAGGGGUGCAAGCUCUGAAUUGAAGUCCCAGUAAACGGCGGCCGUAACUAUAACGGUCCUAAGGUAGCGAAAUUCCUUGUCGGGUAAGUUCCGACCUGCACGAAUGGCGUAACGAUCUCCCCGCUGUCUCUGAUGUGGACUCAGCGAAAUUGAACUGUGUGUCAAGAUGCACACUUCCCGCGGUUAGACGGAAAGACCCCAUGCACCUUUACUCCAGCUUUGCACUGGUAUCAGGAUUGUGAUGUGCAGGAUAGGUGGUAGGCAUUGAAUUGGGGGCGCUAGCCCUCAAGGAGCCUCCCUUGAGAUACCACCCUUCGCCGUUCUGAUAUCUAACCGCGGCCCGUUAUCCGGGUCCGGGACCCUGCAUGGUGGGGAGUUUGACUGGGGCGGUCGCCUCCCAAAUCGUAACGGAGGCGCGCGAAGGUAGGCUCAGACCGGUCGGAAAUCGGUCGCUGAGUGCAAUGGCAUAAGCCUGCCUGACUGCGAGACUGACAAGUCGAGCAGAGACGAAAGUCGGUCAUAGUGAUCNNNNNNNNNUCCCAAGGGUAUGGCUGUUCGCCAUUUAAAGAGGUACGUGAGCUGGGUUUAGAACGUCGUGAGACAGUUCGGUCCCUAUCUGCCGUGGGUGUAGGAGACUUGAGAAGAGUUGCCCCUAGUACGAGAGGACCGGGGUGAACGAACCACUGGUGGACCAGUUAUCGUGCCAACGGUAGUGCUGGGUAGCUAUGUUCGGACAGGAUAACCGCUGAAGGCAUCUAAGCGGGAAGCCCCCUUCAAAACAAGGUCUCCCUGAGGGCCGUGGCAGACCACCACGUCGAUAGGCCAGAGGUGUAAGAGCGGUAACGCUUUCAGCUGACUGGUACUAAUUGCCCGAUAGGCUUGAUUUGAUCCGG